UCUCUAUCUUUACUAUGAACAAGACUUUUAUAAAGUUGUUUUCAGUUACUCAUUUUUCUCCCUGGCACAUCCCGCCACAAAGAAAAAAGAAAUUACACGCAGGAAAGCAUUCGGUGAGAACUUUUUCAUGAUGGUAGAUUUCAGGGUGUAUGUCUGCACUAUUCAUUUAUCUUGGGUCAGGUCUACACAGGACAAUACCUAAAAGAUUUGGAGUGAGAAUCACUCCAGUGUGCUGCAGAGAGACCUUUUUUUUUUUAUUCCAUGCAGCAGUGCUUCCAAGUCAAUAUCUGAGUUACCCUAAAACACUAAUACAAGUGGGUGGAUAAUAGGAUGAGUUAUUUAACAGCUAAAUCACUUCCAACAGACUGCCUCUAGCCAACACUUUGUAACAUUAGCACACUUUAAUUUUUCAUUCUAAAUAAUGCAGUCCCCUGACUGUACAAAUCAUAUUACAUGGAAUUCUUCACAACUCUAUGCUUUUUACAUAUAUGAUGGGGCUUCCAGAAGAAACUAUUUCCCAACUCCUGUAUGUGUGGCCACCAUUCUUAUUAUCUACCCUUGGAUAAUACGGUCAAAAAUGUAUUGUCCAUAAAUGUGAUGAUUAAAAUUACAUUUAAAAUUCUAACCCUAAAUCUUUCU
rnacentral:lncRNA from 1 species